UCCUACGGGAGGCAGCAGUGGGGAAUUUUCCGCAAUGGGCGAAAGCCUGACGGAGCAAUACCGCGUGAGGGAAGACUGCCUAUGGGUUGUAAACCUCUUUUUUCAGGGAGGAAUAAAUGACGUGUACCUGAAGAAUAAGCAUCGGCUAACUCCGUGCCAGCAGCCGCGGUAAGACGGAGGAUGCAAGUGUUAUCCGGAAUCACUGGGCGUAAAGCGUCUGUAGGUGGUUUAAUAAGUCAACUGUUAAAUCUUGAGGCUCAACUUCAAAAUCGCAGUCGAAACUAUUAGACUAGAGUAUAGUAGAGGUAAAGGGAAUUUCCAGUGGAGCGGUGAAAUGCGUAGAUAUUGGAAAGAACAUCGAUGGCGAAAGCACUUUACUGGGCUAUUACUAACACUCAGAGACGAAAGCUAGGGUAGCAAAUGGGAUUAGAUACCCCAGUAGUCCUAGCCGUAAACUAUGGAUACUAGAUGUUGAACAGAUCGACCUGUGCAGUAUCAAAGCUAACGCGUUAAGUAUCCCGCCUGGGAAGUAUGCUCGCAAGAGUGAAACUCA
rnacentral:rRNA from 1 species